UCUGCCCCAAGAUGCAUUGCAGGUGUGGCUGGUGUGUCACGAGUGCAUCAGUAAACUAUAGAGAGGACAGAGGCUAUGACUAAUGCUCAAUGUUUAACCUAUAAACAUCUGAAUGAUUAGUAGCCUUACAUU